rnacentral:rRNA from 1 species
UACGUAGGGGGCAAGCGUUGGUCCGGAAUCAUUGGGCGUAAAGAGCGUGUAGGCGGCCCGGUAAGUCCGCUGUGAAAGUCGAGGGCUCAACCCUCGAAUGCCGGCGGAUACUGUCGGGCUAGAGUCCGGAAGAGGCGAGUGGAAUUCCUGGUGUAGCGGUGAAAUGCGCAGAUAUCAGGAGGAACACCUACGGCGAAGGCAGCUCGCUGGGACGGUACUGACGCUGAGACGCGAAAGCGUGGGGAGCGAACAGG